rnacentral:rRNA from 1 species
GACGAACGCUGGCGGCGUGCCUAACACAUGCAAGUCGAACGGAAAGGCCCUGCUUUUGUGCGGUGCUCGAGGGGCGAACGGGGGAGGAACACGUGUGUAACCUGCCCUUGACUUUGGGAUAACUUCAGGAAACUGGGGCUAAUACCGGACAGGAGCUCCUGAUGCAUGGUGGGGGUUGGAAAGUUUCGGCGGUUGGGGAUGGACUCGCGGCUUAUCAGCUUGUUGGUGGGGUAGUGGCUUACCAAGGCAUUGACGGGUAGCCGGCCUGGGAGGGUGACCGGCCACAAUGGGACUGAGAUACGGCCCAGACUCCUACGUGAGGCAGCAGUGGGAAACAUUGCACAAUGGGCGGACGCCUGAUGCAGCAACGCCGCGUGCGGGAUGACGGCCUGCGGGUUGUAAACCGCUUUCGCCUGUGACGAAGCGUGAGUGACGGUAAUGAGUAAAGAAGCACCGGCUAACUACGUG